rnacentral:rRNA from 2 species
AUAGGGUCAAGACAUCAAGGGCAUUCGGUGGAUGCCUUGGCAUCGGAGAGCGACGAAGGACGUGGUAGGCUACGAUAAUCCGCGGGGAGCUGCGAGCAAGCUUAGAUCCGCGGGAUUCCGAAUGGGGAAACCCGGCCGGGGUAAUGCCCGGUCAUUGCUGCCUGAAUACAUAGGGCAGUAAGGCGAACCCGGGGAAGUGAAACAUCUCAGUACCCGGAGGAAAAGAAAUCAAUUGAGAUUCCCUGAGUAGCGGCGAGCGAAC